AAAAGAAGAAAACAAAACAAAAAAAAAUUUAAAAAUCGAAGUGUAAGACGUGUAAAAAAUUCCAUUUUGGUCAAUUCCGACGACUUCAACAGGCCACAAUUACACACAAAAAUAGAAAAUGCAAUAUAUGCAGCUUUGCCCACAAAGGCAGGUGCUGGUGGCGGCCAGAGAACCAAGUGGGCUCAAGUACAGUGA